GGCAUCAGAGGCAAGCAAGAUUAAUGGUGAGGAGCUGGACCUCAGAUGGGAGCUAACGAUUCCAGCCUCACUCCUUUGAACUGUAUCCUGAAAAACUGGGAUAGAUUUGAUCCCCAGGGCUUAAAGAAGGCACACCUGGUCUUCCUAUGUGAUACUGCAUGGCCGCGGUACCCACUGGAGGACGAUGGGCCUGAUAACCUAUGUGAGCUUACUUCUGCUGGCUCCAAGAAUCCUGAGUCUGCCGUUUGAUCCUCAAGACAAUGCCUUCCUGUCCUGGGCUCACUCCUAUGCUGCAUUCCUCAACCAGUCUAACUGCUGGGUCUGCGGAGCACUCCCCUCUUCAUUGGUGGAAGGCUUCCCGUGGUGGACACCUCCACUUAAAAAAAAAGACUGAACAAUCUGAAGAAUCCAUGAGUUAAUCACACAUUUAAGAUACUUACCCUUAUUUUUAAUCUUAAAAAUCGCCUGCCUGAAAACUUGGGAGUUCAGGUCCUUUAAAUAUUUGCUGCACAUUCUCUUGCUUGACACCCUGCAAAUAAAUGCUGUACUUUCUUUCACCC
ensembl:lncRNA